UACGUAGGGCGCAAGCGUUGUCCGGAAUUAUUGGGCGUAAAGAGCUCGUAGGCGGUUUGUCGCGUCUGCUGUGAAAACCUAAGGCUCAACCUUGGGCUUGCGGUGGGUACGGGCAGACUAGAGCGAUGUAGGGGAGACUGGAAUUCCUGGUGUAGCGGUGAAAUGCGCAGAUAUCAGGAGGAACACCGAUGGCGAAGGCAGGUCUCUGGGCAUUAACUGACGCUGAUGCGCGAAAGCGUGGGGAGCGAUCGG
rnacentral:rRNA from 1 species